UACGUAGGGUGCGAGCGUUGUCCGGAAUUAUUGGGCGUAAAGAGCUCGUAGGCGGUCUGUCGCGUCGAUCGUGAAAACUUGGGGCUUAACCCUGAGCUUGCGGUCGAUACGGGCAUGACUGGAGUUCGGCAGGGGAGACUGGAAUUCCUGGUGUAGCGGUGAAAUGCGCAGAUAUCAGGAGGAACACCAGUGGCGAAGGCGACUACCUGGCCUGUUCUUGACGCUGAGGCGCGAAAGCUAGGGGAGCAAACGGG
rnacentral:rRNA from 1 species